ACGGAAGGCAGCAGUGGGGAAUAUUGGGCAAUGGACGAAAGUCUGACCCAGCGACGCCGCGUGAGGGAAGAAGGUCUUCGGAUUGUAAACCUUAGUCAACAGGGAAGAAGCAAGUGACGGUACCUGUGGAGGAAGCCACGGCUAACUACGUGCCAGCAGCCGCGGUAAUACGUAGGUGGCGAGCGUUAUCCGGAUUUACUGGGUGUAAAGGGUGUGUAGGCGGGGACGCAAGUCAGGUGUGAAAAUUAUGGGCUUAACUCAUAACCUGCACUUGAAACUGCGUUUCUUGAGAGUCGGAGAGGUAAAUGGAAUUCCCAGUGUAGCGGUGAAAUGCGUAGAUAUUGGGAGGAACACCAGUGGCGAAGGCGGCCUGCUGGACAGCAACUGACGCUAAGGCGCGAAAGCGUGGGGAGCAAACAGGAUUAGAUACCCUGGUA
rnacentral:rRNA from 1 species